UACGGAGGGGGCUAGCGUUGUUCGGAAUUACUGGGCGUAAAGCGCACGUAGGCGGCUUGCUAAGUCAGGGGUGAAAUCCUGGAGCUCAACUCCAGAACUGCCUUUGAUACUGGCGAUCUCGAGUCCGGGAGAGGUGAGUGGAACUGCGAGUGUAGAGGUGAAAUUCGUAGAUAUUCGCAAGAACACCAGUGGCGAAGGCGGCUCACUGGCCCGGUACUGACGCUGAGGUGCGAAAGCGUGGGGAGCAAACAGG
rnacentral:rRNA from 1 species